UACGUAGGGCGCAAGCGUUGUCCGGAAUCAUUGGGCGUAAAGAGCUCGUAGGCGGCCUGUUGCGUCCGCUGUGAAAUCCCGGGGCUUAACCCCGGGCGUGCAGUGGAUACGGGCUGGCUAGAGGCAGGCAGGGGAGAACGGAAUUCCCGGUGUAGCGGUGAAAUGCGCAGAUAUCGGGAGGAACACCGGUGGCGAAGGCGGUUCUCUGGGCCUGUACUGACGCUGAGGAGCGAAAGCGUGGGGAGCGAACAGG
rnacentral:rRNA from 1 species